rnacentral:rRNA from 1 species
UGCGCAUAGCUUAGAGAUAAGUGAAGUCCUUCGGGACGCACAGACAGGUGGUGCAUGGUUGUCGUCAGCUCGUGUCGUGAGAUGUUGGGUUAAGUCCCGCAACGAGCGCAGCCCUUGUAUUCAGUUGCUACGCAAGAGCACUCUGGAUAGACUGCCGUUGAUAAAACGGAGGAAGGUGGGGAUGACGUCAAAUCAUCAUGCCCCUUAUGACCUGGGCAACACACGUACUACAAUGGCGUAUAACAGAGGGAAGCAAGACAGCGAUGUGGAGCAAACCCCUAAAAUGCGUCUCAGUUCAGAUUGCAGGCUGCAACUCGCCUGCAUGAAGUCGGAAUUGCUAGUAAUCGCGGAUCAGCAUGCCGCGGUGAAUACGUUCCCGGGCCUUGUACACACCGCCCGUCACACCAUGGGAGCCGGUAACACCCGAAGUCAGUAGCCUGACCGCAAGGAGGGCGCUGCCGAAGGUGGGAUUGGUGACUGGGGUGAAGUCGUAACAAGGUAGCCGUAUCGGAAGGUGCGGUUGGAUCACCUC